rnacentral:lncRNA from 1 species
GUAUCUUAUUCUCAUGGAGGAGAUAGCAGAGCUUGUACUGCAGCAAGUGGAGCUCUGUGGUGAAUCCGAUGCUGGAUUACAUUUUAAGGAUAUUAGCAAGGCCCUGACAAAGUGGUGCUAAAUGAGCACUUUCAUUCUGGUAAUUUGACUAUAAUUUUAGUGAAGCAGUUUUAUUAUGCAGGAAAAAGAAACAGCAUUUUAAUUCCAAUCAUAGUAUACCGACCUGAUCUCUGCUGUGGGGGUGGAAACAAUGAAGAAUGCAACAUUUUAAUACAAUUUUUUUUAAAAAGAAUGCUUUGGAUCUAGAUUAAAUGUUCAAGACAGUCAGCAAACAACAUGCACAAAGGCAUUUUUCUGGAAUUUCAGUCUUGGAUCGAUUUAAAUGCUCAGGGUCUGAAAAAAUGUCUCCUAGCAUCAAAAACUUGGAUUGCUUUUCUCCGAUGUUAUGCCACUGUAAAGUAGCAUGCUCCAACAGCACAAUAUCCUUAAUGUUUGGAUGUAAGAAAUACAGGUAUCAGGAUGAAGAUACACCUCCUCAAGAGCAUAUUUCCCCACAAA